GAGCAGGGUGACAGGAUGAGAAUUCCCCUGGCUUUGCUGUGGCAGCUGCUGCCCGGGCUGCACACCCAGCUGAGGAAGCAGACCAGGAAAGGGUGCUCAGAGUAGUUCCUGCAGCUGAAGAAAGAGCCUACACCAAACCCAGGACUUGCCUGUGGGUCACCACACUGCUUUUGGAGGAGAUUUUUAAGGAGUUGUGAGACUUCGGACUCAAAGCAUUAUAUCAUGGUGAAAAAAGGCAAAACUUCUCAUCAGACAACCAGAAUUUGCAGUUUCCAUCUGCCCCAAGCUGAACUUUGGGCUAGAGGAGUAGCUGCAGGCUGCUGAUGUCCUAAGAAGCACAGGGUUUGGGGUCUAUCUGUGCCGCAGCACCAAGAGUUCAUUUAUCUCUCUCUGGGAAGGUUUUACCCCAAGAUUUAUAAUCCUGUGCCAUAGUGUCAGCCUCAGGAAACAGAUGCAUCAGUUAAGCCACAGUCAUAGACAAGGGGGACCACCUAUUCUCAGGCAGCAAAGGGCAGCAGCCCUGCAGGGCUCUUGCCAGCCCUUAGAGCCCCUAAUUGUCCUCAGCUGGGCCUGCCUACUGCUAUUUAAGCUCCAGCUGAGGAGCAUUUCCUGUUAUUGCUUCUUCUGCUUGGCUGCUGGGGGAACUGGGCUUCAUCUUUGA
rnacentral:lncRNA from 1 species